UAGGGAAUCUUCCGCAAUGGGCGAAAGCUUGACGGAGCAACGCCGCGUGAGUGAUGAAGGUCUUCGGAUCGUAAAACUCUGUUAUUAGGGAAGAACAAAUGUGUAAGUAACUAUGCACGUCUUGACGGUACCUAAUCAGAAAGCCACGGCUAACUACGUGCCAGCAGCCGCGGUAAUACGUAGGUGGCAAGCGUUAUCCGGAAUUAUUGGGCGUAAAGCGCGCGUAGGCGGUUUUUUAAGUCUGAUGUGAAAGCCCACGGCUCAACCGUGAAGGGUCAUUGGAAGCUGGAAAACUUGAGUGCAGAAGAGGAAAGUGAAAUUCCAUGUGUAGCGGUAAAAUGCGCAGAGAUAUGGAGGAACACCAGUGGCGAAGGCGACUUUCUGGUCUGUAACUGACGCUGAUGUGCGAAAGCGUGGGGAUCAAACAGG
rnacentral:rRNA from 1 species